GAGAGGGUAGUGGGGAAUCUCUGAGUGUGAGUGGAUUCUGAAAGAUUUUGUGAGGAUUAUGAGUGUGAGUUUGUUAUGUGAGCCACGCGGAAAGGGACACAAUUCCCAUUUAGUUUUUAUUUUUUCCUUUUUUAUUAAUAAAUCCUAUUAUUUAUUUAUUUUUAAAUAUAUUCAUUAAAACUUCUUAAACUUUAAUUUAAU
rnacentral:lncRNA from 1 species